CCGGCGCACGGGUGAGUAACACGUAUCCAACCUGCCGUCUACUCUUGGCCAGCCUUCUGAAAGGAAGAUUAAUCCAGGAUGGCAUCAUGAGUUCACAUGUCCGCAUGAUUAAAGGUAUUUUCCGGUAGACGAUGGGGAUGCGUUCCAUUAGAUAGUAGGCGGGGUAACGGCCCACCUAGUCAACGAUGGAUAGGGGUUCUGAGAGGAAGGUCCCCCACGUUGGAACUGAGACACGGUCCAA
rnacentral:rRNA from 1 species